rnacentral:rRNA from 1 species
UACAGAGGGGGCAAGCGUUGUUCGGAAUUACUGGGCGUAAAGGGCGCGUAGGCGGCCUGUUAAGUCGAACGUGAAAUCCCCGGGCUCAACCCGGGAACUGCGUCCGAUACUGGCAGGCUUGAGUUCGGGAGAGGGAUGCGGAAUUCCAGGUGUAGCGGUGAAAUGCGUAGAUAUCUGGAGGAACACCGGUGGCGAAGGCGGCAUCCUGGACCGAGAUUGACGCUGAUGCGCGAAAGCCAGGGGAGCAAACGGG